rnacentral:rRNA from 1 species
AUUGAACGCUGGCGGCAGGCCUAACACAUGCAAGUCGAGCGGCAGCGGGAAAGUAGCUUGCUACUUUUGCCGGCGAGCGGCGGACGGGUGAGUAAUGCCUGGGAAAUUGCCCAGUCGAGGGGGAUAACAGUUGGAAACGACUGCUAAUACCGCAUACGCCCUACGGGGGAAAGCAGGGGACCUUCGGGCCUUGCGCGAUUGGAUAUGCCCAGGUGGGAUUAGCUAGUUGGUGAGGUAAUGGCUCACCAAGGCGACGAUCCCUAGCUGGUCUGAGAAGAGGAUCAGCCACACUGGAACUGAGACACGGUCCAGACUCCUACGGGAGGCAGCAGUGGGGAAUAUUGCACAAAGGGGGAAACCCUGAUGCGGCCAUGCCGCGUGUGUGAAGAAGGCCUUCGGGUUGUAAAGCACUUUCAGCGAGGAGGAAAGGUUGAUGCCUAAUACGUAUCAACUGUGACGUUACUCGCAGAAGAAGCACCGGCUAACUCCGUGCCAGCCGCCGCCGUAACAC